GAUGAAGAACGUAGCGAAAUGCGAUAAGUAAUGUGAAUUGCAGAAUUCAGUGAAUCAUCGAAUCUUUGAACGCACAUUGCGCCCCCUGGUAUUCCGGGGGGCAUGCCUGUUCGAGCGUCAUUUCACCACUCAAGCCUCGCUUGGUAUUGGGCAUCGCGGUCCGCCGCGCGCCUCAAAUCGACCGGCUGGGUCUUCUGUCCCCUAAGCGUUGUGGAAACUAUUCGCUAAAGGGUGUUCGGGAGGCUACGCCGUAAAACAACCCCAUUUCUAAGGUUGACCUCGGGUCAGGUAGGGAUACCCGCUGAACUUAAGCAUAUCAAUAGCGGAGGA
rnacentral:misc_RNA from 1 species